rnacentral:tmRNA from 1 species
UAAAAGUUUUAUUUUUCAAGGGGCUGACUUGGUUUUGACAUUUAAAUAUUAAGUAGAGUAUGAUGCUGGUCGAAGCCUGUAUUCUUCGUAAAAACAUACAUUUUUUAUAAUAAAUGCUAACAACGUAAUUCCUUUUAACUUCAAACAAGUAAACAACCGUUCUCUUGCUUUUGCAGUUUAAAAUAUCUGAUAUUUGUUAAAUUUGUUUGUUCGCUAUAACUAGACUUUUGUUUUUUUUAUAGUUUAGAAUAUAUUUAAAUCUUGUUCAUAUUUUGAACUAUGCCUGUGAAUGAGUACUUUAAUAUUAUUUAAAUGGACGUGGGUUCGAUUCCCAUCAGUUCCA